rnacentral:ncRNA from 2 species
AAUAGGCUGUCCAAUCACCUUCAUAUAAUCCCGAUAAUCGGUUCGGGAGUCUCUACCAAAUCACCGGAAAUGAUUUGACUAUGAAGGCAGAUCCUGUAUGU